rnacentral:rRNA from 1 species
AACGAACGCUGGCGGCAUGCCUAAUACAUGCAAGUCGAACGAACACUUCGGUGUUAGUGGCGCACGGGUGCGUAACGCGUGGGAAUCUACCCUUGGGUUCGGAAUAACGUCUGGAAACGGACGCUAAUACCGGAUGAUGAUGUAAGUCCAAAGAUUUAUCGCCCAGGGAUGAGCCCGCGUAGGAUUAGCUAGUUGGUGAGGUAGAGGCUCACCAAGUCUACGAUCCUUAGCUGGCCUGGGAGGAUGAUCAGCCACACUGUGACUGAGACACGGCCCAGACUCCUACAGGAGGCAUCAGUAGGGAAUAUUGGACAAUGGGCGAAAGCCUGAUCCAGCAAUGCCGCGUGAGCGAUGAAGGCCUUAGGGUUGUAAAGCUCUUUUACCCGGGAUGAUAAUGACAGUACCGGGAGAAUAAGCCCCGGCUAACUCCGUGCCAGCCGCCGCUGUAA